rnacentral:lncRNA from 1 species
AGAACAUGAAAAAGGUUCUCAGGGCAGGAUCUUGGGAUGCUGUGCAUCUCGGAGAGGUAAAGCUGCACUCAAUUGUUAUAAUUCCUGCACAAGACGGCAUCUAUUCUGGGACCAAGGAUUUUUUUGGUGCAUUGGUGACAACCCUAAUUCGGACUCUCACCCGAGAACAAUUUCAUAUGUGCUUUUCCAUGACUCCAACUAACAUCAAUUGUGCAUUUUAUUUCCUGCAAAAGAAUCAUGGGACAGCAUUUUGAGUAUUCAAGAAUGAAGUGGGGGAAAGUGUAGAUCGGACUUAAUGGCUCUCCACAGGGGCUACUGAGAACCUGAGCUACAUCAAGUUACAGAGGGAUAUCGGACAACUAAAGCAGCUGACACUGAAACUGGGGAUUUUUCUGUAUCAUUCUCAAGGGACAAAAAAAAAAACAUCAUAUCAAUAGGCACAGAGCUCCAUGCACAGUAAUUGGUAUUUGGGGAAUGGUCUCUCUCUGGAAAUUCAGAGCAAAUGCCUAACGUGAAGCUUUACAAUGUUUUGUGUGUUAUCUCUGUGAGUCAACGGUUAGAAAGUCAUGCUCAGAAGUGUCUAGGGCUAUAGCCAGAGUAGUCUCCUGCAAAAUGAAGGCUUCUUUCCUUCUGCAAAAGGAAGGC